UACGGGAGGCAGCAGUGGGGAAUAUUGCACAAUGGGCGAAAGCCUGAUGCAGCUAUGCCGCGUGUAUGAAGAAGGCCUUAGGGUUGUAAAGUACUUUCAUCGGGGAGGAAAAAACAAAACUAAUAAUUUUAUUUCUUGACGUUACCCGAAAAAGAAGCACCGGCUAACUCCGUGCCAGCAGCCGCGGUAAUACGGAGGGUGCUAGCGUUAAUCAGAAUUACUGGGCGUAAAGAGCACGUAGGUGGUUUUUUUAAGUCAGAUGUGAAAUCCCUGGGCUUAACCUAGGAACUGCAUUUUGAAACUGAAAUACUAGAGUAUCGUAGAGGGAGGUAGAAUUCUAGGUGUAGCGGUGAAAUGCGUAGAUAUCUGGAGGAAUACCUGUGGCGAAAGCGGCCUCCUAAACGAAUACUGACACUGAGGUGCGAAAGCGUGGGGAGCAAACAGAAUUAGAUACC
rnacentral:rRNA from 1 species